CAGGGAGCUGCUGUGGCUUUGAGGAGAAUAUGGGAAUUCUGGAGCACCUCCAGUGACUCGCAUACCUGAGGAGCCAGGAAAUAAUGUCUGAGCCUAGAGGGACAGCAACGAUGGAACCUCCAAAGAGGCGAGAGAUGGAGAGAUUAGAGCAAGAAACGAAGCCAGCGGAUGCUGCCAGUUCCCAUCACCUAAUCAAAGCUGCUCCGUGGAAGGGCCGCCUCGUUAUUACAUCCCAUUAUAGCCUCCGGCAGCGGCUGUACUUCAUAACCGCCCAGGAAAGCUGACAGGAGCUUAAAAUACUCCGGCAGCGCUGGAGGAGAAGGAGGUGGUAAGCAGUGCCAAGUUCCUCAAUGAAAAUUACUCUCAGCGCCUCUGGUUUUGGAGCCAGAUCGAUGUUAAUUAAUCCUUGCCUCACACGUUACGUUCUCCAACCUCACCGCCUCAGAUUUUAACUCGCUAAAAAAGCAGAUGGAGGUUCCCGAAGCGCCUCCGAAAUUCCCAGCCGAGUGCUCUCCUCAAUGACAAUGCCAAUUUGUCAUGAGUGAAAUGUUUGACAAAAAUCUGUCAUUUUUGAGAGAAGUUUUUCCUUGAAAGAAAAACCAGG
rnacentral:lncRNA from 1 species